UCCACCUAUUUCUCACUCUGGGUACUUGGUUGUACUGUUAGAUAAUUUUGAUACAGUCCUACCUUACCUUUCCACACUGAUUCCCUUACUUUUUUUCUACACCAAUCCUGUACUACACCAUUCCUGCGACCUCCUCCUCCUCCUCCCGGGUUCAAGUGAUUCUCCUGCCUCGGCCUCCCGAGUAGCUGGGAUUACAGGUGCCGGAGUACAGGAUUGCUGUAGAAGAAAAGUAGGGGAAUCAGUGUGGAAAGGUAAGGUCGGACUGCAUCAAAAAUGGUCCUGACUGUCAAGCUGAAGCCUUUGUCCUUUGCAUGGGAGGACACUGAGGAAG